UCCUAACCAAACUCCGAAUACCCGGGAGUACUAGAUGGCAGACACACUGCGGAUGCUAACGUCCGUAGUGGAGAGGGAAACAACCCUGACCUACAGCUAAGGCCCCCAAUUCAUGGCUAAGUGGGAAAGCAGGUGGGACGACCAAAACAACCAGGAGGUUGGCUUAGAAGCAGCCAUCCUUUAAAGAUAGCGUAACAGCUCACUGGUCUA
rnacentral:rRNA from 1 species